AGCAUGAUGGCUCAGUUGGAAGAGUAUUGGGCUCAUAUCCCAAAGGUCCCUGGAUCGAGACCAGGUCGUGCUA
rfam:Phialocephala scopiformis strain CBS 120377 unplaced genomic scaffold LY89scaffold_30, whole genome shotgun sequence.